UCUAUAUGUCGAUGCAUAACCCUAAAGUUGAAGACGCUAUCAAGUCUGCCCGGAACGAACCCAAAAGAAAAGUGAAAUCGUCAAAACAUUUAAAUUCAUUGAUUGUGCAAGUUUUCAGAUUAAAUAUACUUUGUGUUAAGUUAAAUAUACCAAUACUAAUUGGUUAACUUGUGAUGGAACAUGAAGAAUUGAUAUUUAUAUGUACAAUGCAAAUAGCUGUGCUAGCAUUGUACGCCGCAUGGAAGGCUGAAAAAAGCAAGCAUUGGAAAAAUCGCCGAUGGCAUGUACGUCCCAUAAAUACAAGACGAGCGGAGCGUGGCGAUUUCGCAACUCUAUUUUCGGAAUUGAAAAAAGACUCGGAUCUCUUCUUCUGGUACACAAGAAUGGAUGUGCCCACAUUUUAUGAAUUGCUCCGACUAGUGAGUUUGCAUUUGCAAAAAAGGAGUAUAAGACCAUCGAUAAAUCCAGAACAGCGUCUCGCAAUUACAUUGAGAUAAAUAUAUAUUUAUAUACAUAUUUAUUUCAAAUAAUAGACUAUCUAUAUCAACUAUUAGA